rnacentral:lncRNA from 1 species
CAUAAUACAUAACUAAUGAUAAAAUUAUAAAAUGCAUGGAGAUUCCAGGCAAUGCUUCUGGUAUAUUUUAAUUUUUCGAUUGGAUUGUAAUUUAAUACUUGUCGUUGGAGUCUUUCCCUUAUGUAUUUGUAAUUUUUUUUUUCAAAAGGUACCAUCCCCUCUUUCAAUAUCUACUUUUUUCUUUUUAGGAUCAACCAUCAGUAUCACUCUAGGGUCAAGAACUAAUUCAUGAAUUGAUUUUAAAGUCUAUAUUAUAUUCAUUCAAGUGAGACUUGAAAGAUCACGAUACAAGACGAUAUGAACUCUUCCAUUUCUUUGUGAGUCAGUCCUUGGUCACUAAAAAACAUACUCUGAGGGUUGAACUUCUUUCUGAUCAUCAUCUAAAAUAUUAAAUGCCAGUCGAACAUUGUUUAGGAGUUUUUAAUGAAUAAAAAGGCAAUGAGACGAAUAUAUGGAUCCCUCUUGUUAAACGAACGUUGACCACGUGAACACAUGAGAUAGAUUCACAAAUAAAAUCUAUCAAUUAAGCUUCUUCCAUUUCUUCAAGCCUCAACUAAGGCCACAACUAUGAUUAAUUAACGUGCAACAAGUCAAUGAGUUCUUUCGAAAUAGACUCAUCAUUCCAGAUUCGUGAUUCCUUUUAAUUUCUCCUUAUAAAUAAUUAAGUAUAAACAAUACAAGAUUACAGAUUACUUCUUUAUUAUUUAUUAAUGAUUUCAUCACUACUUUCCUUUUCUUUUUCUUCUCCCUUAGUUAUAUUAUUAAUCUGAUUGUAGUAUAAUUGUAAAGAUCGAACCGAUAAUAGAUAAAGCGUUAAAGUAAAGUAGCACAACAAAGCAAAUGUAAACAAAAAAGUUGUUGGACAUAAAAUAGUUUAUUUUUUAAACGUUAGAUGUCACUUUUCCAUUUAACGUUUCAUUCAAACAGGUAAAGAGGAGUUGAUGAAGGAUGAAUUAGAAUAAACAAAUAAUAAGUGUACUGAAUACUAGUAAGUGAAUAUAUUAUAUCUAGUCACUAGUAUUCAGUACAAAGUUAUAUUCCUAACCUCAAUCUACGUUGUCUUAUUCGCUUAUAUGUUUGCAUUAUUUAGUUUAAAUUAAAUUAUUACAACUCAUAUUAUACAUCCAUCCUAUAAACAAAUAUAGUCAUCAUUUUAUCGUCAUAAAAACAAGAAAUAUAUUAAUAAGCCGUAUCGUGGUAUCGUAUUUCAAAUUUUUCUCUAUUAAGUGUUUGUAAUAAACGAUAUAUGUAAAUAUUUAUUAUAUCUAUAUUUUAUAAUUGUUAUUAUGUAUUGUCAUAUUUUUUUAUAAAUAAUAUGAAAAUAAAAAGAAAUUCUCUCAAGUA